GCGAUGGCUCAUAAAUCAGUAUCGUUUAUUUGAUAGUACCUUACUACUUGGAUAACCGUGGUAAUUCUAGAGCUAAUACAUGCUAAAAACCCCAACUUCGGGAGGGGUGUAUUUAUUAGAUAAAAAACCAACGCCCUUCGGGGCUUCUUGGUGAUUCAUGAUAACUUUACGGAUCGCAUGGCCUUGCGCCGGCGACGGUUCAUUCAAAUUUCUGCCCUAUCAACUUUCGAUGGUAAGGUAUUGGCUUACCAUGGUUUCAACGGGUAACGGGGAAUUAGGGUUCGAUUCCGGAGAGGGAGCCUGAGAAACGGCUACCACAUCCAAGGAAGGCAGCAGGCGCGCAAAUUACCCAAUCCCGACACGGGGAGGUAGUGACAAUAAAUACUGAUACAGGGCUCUUUUGGGUCUUGUAAUUGGAAUGAGUACAAUUUAAACCUCUUAACGAGGAACAAUUGGAGGGCAAGUCUGGUGCCAGCAGCCGCGGUAAUUCCAGCUCCAAUAGCGUAUAUUAAAGUUGUUGCAGUUAAAAAGCUCGUAGUUGAAACUUGGGUCUGGCUGGCAGGUCCGCCUCACCGCGUGUACUUGUCCGGCCGGGCCUUCCUUCUGGAGAACCUCAUGCCCUUCACUGGGCGUGUUGGGGACCAGGACUUUUACUUUGAAAAAAUUAGAGUGUUCAAAGCAGGCCUUUGCUCGAAUACGUUAGCAUGGAAUAAUAGAAUAGGACGUGCGGUCCUAUUUUGUUGGUUUCUAGGACCGCCGUAAUGAUUAAUAGGGACAGUCGGGGGCAUCAGUAUUCAAUUGUCAGAGGUGAAAUUCUUGGAUUUAUUGAAGACUAACUACUGCGAAAGCAUUUGCCAAGGAUGUUUUCAUUAAUCAGUGAACGAAAGUUAGGGGAUCGAAGACGAUCAGAUACCGUCGUAGUCUUAACCGUAAACUAUGCCGACUAGGGAUCGGGCGAUGUUCUUUUUCUGACUCGCUC
rnacentral:rRNA from 1 species